UAGGGAAUCUUCGGCAAUGGGGGCAACCCUGACCGAGCAACGCCGCGUGAGUGAAGAAGGUCUUCGGAUCGUAAAACUCUGUUGUUAGAGAAGAACAUGCAGGAGAGUAACUGUUCUUGUAUUGACGGUAUCUAACCAGAAAGCCACGGCUAACUACGCGCCAG
rnacentral:rRNA from 1 species